rnacentral:rRNA from 1 species
UACAGAGGGUGCAAGCGUUGUUCGGAAUUACUGGGCGUAAAGCGCGUGUAGGCGGCCUGCCAAGUCUCGUGUGAAAGCCCCGGGCUCAACCCGGGAAGUGCGCGAGAUACUGGCUGGGCUUGAGCGGUGGAGAGGGUGGCGGAAUUCCCGGUGUAGAGGUGAAAUUCGUAGAUAUCGGGAGGAACACCUGUGGCGAAGGCGGCCACCUGGACACUUUCUGACGCUGAGACGCGAAAGCGUGGGUAGCAAACAGG